AACGAACGCUGGCGGCAUGCCUAACACAUGCAAGUCGAACGAGACCUUCGGGUCUAGUGGCGCACGGGUGCGUAACGCGUGGGAACCUGCCCUUAGGUUCGGAAUAACUCCCCGAAAGGGGUGCUAAUACCGGAUAAUGUCUUCGGACCAAAGAUUUAUCGCCUUUGGAUGGGCCCGCGUUGGAUUAGCUGGUUGGUAGGGUAAAAGCCUACCAAGGCGACGAUCCAUAGCUGGUCUGAGAGGAUGAUCAGCCACACUGGGACUGAGACACGGCCCAGACUCCUACGGGAAGCGGCAGUGGGGAAUAUUGGACAAUGGGCGAAAGCCUGAUCCAGCAAUGCCGCGUGAGUGAUGAAGGCCUUAGGGUUGUAAAGCUCUUUUACCCGGGAUGAUAAUGACAGUACCGGGAGAAUAAGCUCCGGCUAACUCCGUG
rnacentral:rRNA from 1 species